GGGACCAGUUUAUGGACAAGGUGAAAUAGAAACUAUAGCAUCAAGCUCACAAGGGCCAACUUUGGUAGCUGAAUGAGAAACAGCAAGAACUUAGAAAUAUUUAUUUGGAGACUACAACUGCCUGAAUUGUCCAGCCAGCAUGGCCUGUGGCUAUCGCUCACUGCGUCAUUACUGGCUGAUGGAUUCUGGGAUGUUGGCUAUCCAAAAGAUCCAACAGCAACCAAAGAAGUGACACUAAAGGAGGAAAGAGAGGGAAAAGAAAAGAAGCACUCAGCAGAAAGGCAGG